rnacentral:lncRNA from 1 species
AAUAGGAAUUAUAAUAUUAUUUUAUUUCCUUUUGCAUUAUAAAUAUGGGCAUGUACAUGUAUGAAACACAAAGAAAUAUAAUUACAAUUUUCUCCAUUUUUCUACGUUUUUCUUGCCAUGGUAUCAAAGCAUAGCAUUCUGAUAUAGCUUCCACAAAUACCCUGAAUUGCCAACGGAGUCUUUUCAAUUGUUGUUGUAAAUUCCUUCCUGCAAAACAAAUUGUCACACCAGUUAGGAAUUCAUACGUUCAAACUCCAUGCCCAAAAAUCAAAGCAGCAACAACGACCAAGGGAUGAUCCCACCUAUGGAGGAAUCGAUCGACACCAACAACUCUCCUGAGAGUCUAGCUUCAGAUCAGAUUGAUCAAACCCAGAAUUUGUUGCAGCAACCUUCGGCUCCAUUGCCCACAUCUAUUCAACCCUUUGCGCCAAUCCAAUGGCCACCAAUGCAAUGUAUUCCAGUCCAAGGCCCAUGGGCUGUUGGACCCAAUCAACAACAAUGUGCUCCUUGCGGCCCAUCCGGAGAAGGUACUAACCAUGGGCCCCAAAUUGAUGGAUCGGGUUUGCCACAUCUAGGUCACAUAUCUGAAUCAAGUUCAGCGACUCCCUACCCAGGAUUGCAACUCGGGUUCUACCUGUUCCCUGUCCUCGGCGUCGGUCAUUGUCCAGAACUUAGGGAUGUUCUCUACACCUCCCCAAUUGAUGGACCGGAGCUCCAAAUCAUCAACCUGCAACUAGACCUGAUCCAGAACUUAGGGAUGUUCUCUACACCUCCCCAAUUGAUGGACCGGAGCUCCAAAUCAUCAACCUGCAACUUGCCGGUCUAGACAACUACAAUGCGUGAGCUUGAGAUUUGUAGCAAGCUCUCGUGACCAAGGACAAAUAUGGGUUCCUUGAUGGAACUGUGCCUAAUCUUGACGACGAUUGUAUGUAACAAUCUUGGUGGAGGUGUAAUCAACUCGUGUGCACUUGGAUCGAGAACUAUGUGGCCUUCGAUAUUGUUGCUGGCCUCCCACCGAUCGAAGAUUCGAAAAAAAAUGUGGGACAACAUCAGGGAAAUGUAUGGGAAGUUGGACAGAGCGAAGCUAUUUUCGCUCAAUCAAGCUCUAUCAGAUCUGAAGCAAGGGAACCUCUUAGUUGCCGUUUGCUUCAACUGACUCUCAGCUCUCUGGAAUGAGCUCAAGGCUGCUGAGGAAGAGCUCAAAGGACCGCAAGAGACUCUUGAACAAUAUAGACGGAUUAGAGAGAGGGAGACGGUUACUUGGUUUAUGUUGAUUUUGAAUGAAAGCUUCUCAAUGUUUCGGUCGCAGAUCUUCACCAUGGAUCUCGUCCUUCCUCUCGCCUGAAUAUAUCAAUUGGCCGUCCAAGAGGAAAAUCAAAGACUAGUUAUGACGAAGUACAUGAAAGGAGAGGAAGGAGUUGUGCUUGUCGCUGUGGUGGGGUUGUCGCAGCGAGCGGCCAGCACUCUUGGACCACCGCCACGCAGAGAGAACCCAGUCGGGUCUUACCGAGCAGCCAAAUCCCCUCGUUGGGAAGAAGAUGAAGUAUCUAACCCUAAGGUUCCACGGAUGGAUGGCCCAGAUUUAAAGCUAUAAUCAGAUGGCUCAUAUUCAGCCAUCCAUGGAGUUGAAUCGGGUGGCUCUCAGCAGGCCACGUUAGCCCAUAUCUUUAGGCCAUCCAACGGUCCUUGAGGCGCCACAUCAUCAAAAGGAAAUAGGCAGAAUUUUAAAAACAAAGGUAAAUAUUGUGAAUAUUGUAAAUGCCCA